AGCAAAGAGCCGCACCGGUUAACAGUGAAUCAAUAAUGAUGAGCAGCCUGAGAGGAACGCAGUGAUGUCAGUACAUUGCAACACAGAAAUGGGAACUGAGGUUAAAAUAAGACUGGUUGACACCGGUUCCAUCCUGAUUGAGGGGCCUACAACAUGUCCUGGGUGGUUAGAGAGAUACUGAGAUCACAUACCAUGGCAGAUCUGCAUCAUCAUCUGGACAACGUGUCACGUAAACUAGCUGUUGGAUCACACUGACACUGGACGUAUGACCUGCAAGCUAAGUACUAAUUGAGAAUUUGGCAGUACGCCCAACUGACUUGACAACCGCAGACCACGUGUAA